UAAGGAAUAUUGGACAAUGGAGGCAACUCUGAUCCAGCCAUGCCGCGUGAAGGAUGAAGGUCCUCUGGAUUGUAAACUUCUUUUAUCUGGGACGAAAACGGGAUUUUUAUCUCAAUUGACGGUACCAGAGGAAUAAGCACCGGCUAACUCCGUGCCAGCAGCCGCGGUAAUACGGAGGGUGCGAGCGUUAUCCGGAUUUACUGGGUUUAAAGGGUGCGUAGGUGGGCUUAUAAGUCAGUGGUGAAAUCUCCGAGCUUAACUUGGAAACUGCCGUUGAUACUAUAGGUCUUGAAUUAUCUGGAGGUAAGCGGAAUAUGUCAUGUAGCGGUGAAAUGCUUAGAUAUGACAUAGAACACCAAUUGCGAAGGCAGCUUACUACAUAUAAAUUGACGCUGAGGCACGAAAGCGUGGGGAUCAAACA
rnacentral:rRNA from 1 species